rnacentral:rRNA from 1 species
GACGAACGCUGGCGGCGUGCCUAAUACAUGCAAGUCGAACGCAGUGGGGACGGGUGAGUAACACGUGGGUAACCUCCCAUCAGAGGGGAUAACACUUGGAAACAGGUGCUAAACCGAUACUGAUGGAUGGACCCGGGGUACAUGAGCUAGUUGGUGAGGUAACGGCUCACCAAGGCCAAGAUGCAUAGCCCACCUGAGAGGGUGAUCGGCCAGCCUGUGACUGAGACACGACCACUACGUCUACGGUAGGAAGCAGUCGGGAAUCUUCGGCAAUGGACCAAAGUCGGACCGAGCAACGCGGCGUGAGUGCAGAAGGUUUUCGGAUCGGAAAACUAUGUUGUUAGAGAAGCGGUACCUAACCAGAAAGCCACGGCUAACUACGUGCCAGCAGCCGCGGUAAUUC